UUGAACGCUGGCGGAAUGCUUUACACAUGCAAGUCGAGCGGCAGCGCGGGGCAACCUGGCGGCGAGCGGCGAACGGGUGAGUAAUGCAUCGGAACAUGUCCAUGUCGUGGGGGAUAGCCCGGCGAAAGCCGGAUUAAUACCGCAUACGCCCGAGAGGGGAAAGUGGGGGACCGCAAGGCCUCACGCGAUUGGGUUGGCCGAUGUCCGAUUAGCUUGUUGGUGAGGUAAAGGCUUACCAAGGCGAUGAUCGGUAGCUGGUCUGAGAGGAUGAUCAGCCACACUGGGACUGAGACACGGCCCAGACUCCUACGGGAGGCAGCAGUGGGGAAUUUUGGACAAUGGGGGCAACCCUGAUCCAGCCAUUCCGCGUGAGUGAAGAAGGCCUUCGGGUUGUAAAGCUCUUUUGUCCGGAGCGAAACGGUUACGGUGAAUAUCCGUGACUACUGACGGUACCGGAAGAAUAAGCACCGGCUAACUACGU
rnacentral:rRNA from 1 species